GACAAACAAUCAGUGUCCACUUCUAGGGACAAGUGUUCACGUUACCAGCUAACAGUUCUGUACCAAGUGUCUGUUCUGCUCAAGAACCCAAGACUACCAGCCCAGAGAUGGCACCACCCACAAGGAGCCCUCCCCACUUGAUCACUAAUUGAGAAAAUCCAUAGUUGGAUCUCCUGGAGGCACUUCCCCAACUGAAACUCCUUUCUCUGUAAUAACUCCAGCCUGUGUCAAGUUGACACACAAAACCAUCCAGUACACCCAGCAUUUAAGCAGAUCUAUAAAGGUUGACCAGAAGAGAGAUCGGGAGGCCCUGGAACUGAAAAGAGAUGGGAAAUAAAAAAGGAUUCAGGUCCAGUGUUCAUGGCUCAGAAGCAGGGCAGCCGGCUGGACCCAGGAGGUGCAGCCUGGGAUGACCACCAUUCCUCUUCUCCUCUCAGGAAGACACUGAAGACAAAUGAGAGGCUUACCCAUUCCGUCUCUGACCAUUCGGAAGUUCUGCCCUCUCUGGCCUUUGAGGGUGAGAGCUGAGUGGGCACUUGGGAAAGCCACCACCACUCUUCAGCUGCUCUGCGCUUCCUGACCUCAUUGGAUUGACCUGAGCUCAUUGGAGCCUUUGGACACCAAGCUUUGAAGGGUGUCUUAGUGACUGACACCACUCCUGAUACCAACUUCUGUCUUAGUCACUGCUGUGAAGAGACACCACAGCCAAGGCAACUCUUAUAAAAGAAAGCAUUUAACUGGGGGCUGGCUUACAGUUUCAGGGGUUUAGUCCAUUAUCAUCAUGGCGGGAAGGAAGUGUGGCAGCAGGGAGCAUGGUGGCAUGCAAUCGUGGUGCUGAGGAAGUAGCUGAGAGCUACACCCUGACCAGUAGGCAGAGAGAGAGAGAGAGAGAGAGAGA